rnacentral:rRNA from 1 species
UACAGAGGUCUCAAGCGUUGUUCGGAUUCAUUGGGCGUAAAGGGUGCGUAGGCGGCUUGUCGCGUCGUCCGUGAAAACCUGCGGCUCAACUGCAGGCUGGCGGUCGAUACGGGCAGGCUGGAGUUCGGUAGGGGAGACUGGAAUUCCUGGUGUAGCGGUGAAAUGCGCAGAUAUCAGGAGGAACACCGGUGGCGAAGGCGGGUCUCUGGGCCGAUACUGACGCUGAGGAGCGAAAGCGUGGGGGAGCGAACAGG